rnacentral:rRNA from 1 species
GACGAACGCUGGCGGCGUGCUUAACACAUGCGAGUCGAACGGAAAGGCCCUGCUUGCCGGGUGCUCGAGUGGCGAACGGGUGAGUAACACGUGGGUGAUCUGCCCCUUACUUUGGGAUAAGCCUGGGAAACUGGGUCUAAUACUGGAUAGGACCAUGCUGUAGGUGGUGUGGUGGAAAGAUUAGUUUCGGUAAGGGAUGAGCUCGCGGCCUAUCAGCUUGUUGGUGGGGUAAUGGCCUACCAAGGCGUCGACGGGUAGCCGGCCUGAGAGGGUGGACGGCCACAUUGGGACUGAGAUACGGCCCAGACUCCUACGGGAGGCAGCAGUGGGGAAUAGUGCACAAUGGGCGCAAGCCUGAUGCAGCGACGCCGCGUGGGGGAUGACGGCCUUCGGGUUGUAAACUCCUUUCAGCCAUGACGAAGCCCUUGUGGUGACGGUAGUGGUAGAAGAAGCACCGGCUAACUACGUG